AGAUCAGGCAGGAUUACCCGCUGAACUUAAGCAUAUCAAUAAGCGGAGGAAAAGAAACUAACAAGGAUUCCCCUAGUAACGGCGAGUGAAGCGGGAAGAGCUCAAAUUUGUAAUCUGGCACUUUCAGUGUCCGAGUUGUAAUCUCGAGAAGUGUUUUCCGCGCCGGACCGCAUACAAGUCUGUUGGAAUACAGCGUCAUAGUGGUGAGAACCCCGUAACUGAUGCGGAUGCCCGGUGCUUUGUGAUACACUUUCGAAGAGUCGAGUUGUUUGGGAAUGCAGCUCAAAUUGGGUGGUAAAUUCCAUCUAAAGCUAAAUAUUGGCGAGAGACCGAUAGCGAACAAGUACCGUGAGGGAAAGAUGAAAAGCACUUUGGAAAGAGAGUUAACAGUACGUGAAAUUGUUGGAAGGGAAACGCUUGA
rnacentral:rRNA from 1 species